rnacentral:rRNA from 1 species
UACGUAGGGUGCGAGCGUUAAUCGGAAUUAUUGGGCGUAAAGCGCGCGCAGGCGGUUCUUUAAGUCUGAUGUGAAAGCCCCCGGCUCAACCGGGGAGGGUCAUUGGAAACUGGAGAACUUGAGUGCAGAAGAGAAGAGCGGAAUUCCACGUGUAGCGGUGAAAUGCGUAGAGAUGUGGAGGAACACCAGUGGCGAAGGCGGCUCUUUGGUCUGUAACUGACGCUGAGGCGCGAAAGCGUGGGGAGCAAACAGG